GGCUUUAUUAAAGUUGUUUUGAAAGCAAUUAAUAAGAUUAGUCUUUAAAGUCA
rnacentral:tRNA from 1 species